GUUAGGAAUAUUGGACAAUGGGCGCAAGCCUGAUCCAGCCAUGCCGCGUGAGUGAUGAAGGCCUUCGGGUUGUAAAGCUCUUUAGCCGAUGAUUAUAAUGACUGUAGUCGGAGAAGAAGCCCCGGCUAACUUCGUGCCAGCAGCCGCGGUAAUACGAAGGGGGCUAGCGUUGUUCGGAAUCACUGGGCGUAAAGCGCACGUAGGCGGACAUUUAAGUCAGGGGUGAAAGCCUGGAGCUCAACUCCAGAACUGCCCUUGAUACUGGGUGUCUCGAGUCCGGAAGAGGUAAGUGGAACUGCGAGUGUAGAGGUGAAAUUCGUAGAUAUUCGCAAGAACACCAGUGGCGAAGGCGGCUUACUGGUCCGGUACUGACGCUGAGGUGCGAAAGCGUGGGGAGCAAACAGGAUUAGAAACCCUUGUAGUCC
rnacentral:rRNA from 1 species